AGCAUAGGAAGUGAGGAUUGAGGAAGUUAUUGGGUUUACUUCAUUUGAGCAAAACAAUUAAUGCUGCUGUGUUGCUUUCAUUCUAAGGCUCGAGGGGUCGCGUCGAGAACGAGUUCAAUAUGGACCGGGCUCGAGCCCGAUGGCAGAAUACGAAACUCGAAGAUCGAAGUGCUCGAUGAACACUGGGGCCGAGUAUGACCAACUUCGAGAUAAUACCGUUAUGAUUUUAUAACAGAAAGAGCGAGAUUCCCGCGGUGGUCCUAAGAUAACGGCGUAAAUUCCGGAAGGUAUUUGUACUAGGCAGUUAGACAAUUGUAUAAUAAGAUUCCCUACUACAAUUAGAAUUGUACCUUAUUUAGGAUUCCCCUACUAUAUAAAGGGGACCCCACUCAUUUGUAACGGAGAAUCAUUGACUGAGAAGAGAAUAUACAUUUCCAAUUUCUUGA